CAUAGGCAGUGGCUUGGUUAAGGGAACGGAACCCACCGGAGCCGUAGCGAAAGCGAGUCUUAAUAGGGCGAUUGUCACUGCUUAUGGACCCAAACCUGGGUGAUCUAUCCAUGACCAGGAUGAAGCUUGGAUGAAACUAAGCAGAGGUCCGAAUCGACGGAUGUUGAAGAAUCAGCGGAUGAGUUGUGGUUAGGGGUGAAAUGCCACUCGAACCCAGAGCUAGCUGGUUCUCCCCGAAAUACGUUGAGGCGCAGCAAUUGACUCGACAUCUAGGGGUAAAGCACUGUUUCGGUGCGGGCUGCGCGAGCGGUACCAAAUCGAGGCAAACUCUGAAUACUAGACAUGACCCAAAAAUAACAAGGGUCAAGGUCGGCCAGUGAGACGAUGGGGGAUAAGCUUCAUCGUCGAGAGGGAAACAACCCAGACCACCAGCUAAGGCCCCUAUAUGACCACUCAGUGAUAAAGGAGGUGGGGGUGCAAAGACAUCCAGGAGGUUUGCCUAGAAGCAGCCACCCUUUAAAGAGUGCGUAAUAGCUCACUGAUCGAGCGCCCUUGACCUCAAGAUGAAUGGGGCUAAGCGAUCUGCCGAAGCUGUCGGAUGUGGGGUUCCGGCAAACCCUUAAGGUUCGAACUCUGGGGUGCGCGCGAAG
rnacentral:rRNA from 1 species